ensembl:lncRNA
CCCCCCCCCCCCCCCGGUUCCCAUCUAUGGGGCGGCGCUGUGGGGCCCCAUGGGGUGGGCGGAAGUUCCCCCCCCCCCCCCCCCGCCCCCCCGCCCCACAACAGCUGUGGGGCAGCGCAGGUGGAGGAGCCCCAAAUAGCAGCAAAGAAUCCGUGGGGCGGAAAUUGGGGGGGGGGGGGGAUGGAAGGGGACACCUAUGGGGCAUUCCGGCCCCACACAUCGGCCCCAGCCCCAUAGAUCGGCCCCAUAGCAGGUCCCAGCCCCAUAGAUUGGCCCCAUAGUGGGUUCCAGCCCCAUAGAUUGGCCCCAUAGUGGGUCCUGGCCCCAUAGAUUGGCCCCAUAGUGGGUCCUGGCCCCAUAGAUUGGUCUCAUAGACUGUCCCAGCCCCAUAGAUUGGCUCCAGCCCCAUAGAUCAGCCCCAUAGACAUUUUCAGCCCCAUAGAUCGGCCCCAUAGCGGGUCCUGGCCCCAUAGAUUGGCUCCUGCCCCAUAGAUCGGGCUAUGGGGCAAAGCUAUGGGGCAGAGCUGUGAGGUGCUAUGGGGCAGAUAUGGCGCUAUGGGGCGCUAUGGGGCAGCUAUGGGGCAGAAAUGUGCGGCAAUGGGAAUGGAUGGAGGAUGAAUGGGGGCUAUGGGGCGCUAUGGGGCGCUAUAGGGUGACUAUAGGGCAUCUAUGGGGCAGAGCUAUGGGGCUCUAUGGGGCUCUAUGGGGCAGAGAUGGUGUUAUGGGGUGCAGAGAUGGAGGACAGUGGGAAUGGAUGGAGAAUGAAUGGGGGUUAUGGGGUUAUGGGGCGCUAUGGGGCGCUAUAGGGCAGCUAUGGGGCAUCAAUGGGGCAGAGCUAUGGGGCAGAGGUAUGGGGCUCUAUGGGGCAGAUAUGGAGCUCUAUGGGGCAGAGACGUGGGCUGAUAUGAGGCAAUGGGAAUGGAUAGAGGACGAAUGGGGUCUUUGGGGUUAUGGGGCGCUAUGGGGCGCUAUAGGGCGCUAUGGGCAUCUAUGGGGCAGAUCUAUGGGACUCUAUGGGGCUCUAUAGGGCUCUAUUGGGCAGAGAUGGAGGGCAAUGGGAAUGGAUGGAGGAUGAAUGGGGGCUGUGGGGUUAUGGGGCGCUAUGGGGCGCUAUGGGGCGGCUAUGGGGCAUCUAUGGGGCAGAGCUAUGGGGCGCUAUGGGGCUCUAUGGGGCAGAUAUGGAGCUCUAUGGGGCCGAUAUGAGGCAAUGGGAAUGGAUGGAGGAUGAAUGGGGUCUUUGGGGUUAUGGGGCGCUAUGGGGCGCUAUAGGGCGGCUAUGGGGCAUCUAUGGGGCAGAGCUAUGGGGCGCUAUGGGGCUCUAUGGGGCAGAUAUGGAGCUCUAUGGGGCAGAGAUGGAGGGCAAUGGGAAUGGAUGGAGGAUGAAUGGGGUCUAUGGGGCGCUAUGGGGCGCUAUGGGGCGCUAUAGGGCAGCUAUGGGGCAUCUAUGGGGCAGAGCUAUGGGGCGGAUCUAUGGGGCCGCCCCGUCCUCACCUCCGUGGCUGCGCCUUUGGCCGCUGCGGUGGCUGCAAAACGGCGUCACGGUGGGGGG